rnacentral:rRNA from 1 species
GGGACGAACGCUGGCGGCGUGCUUAACACAUGCAAGUCGAGCGAGGCCCUCCCUUCGGGGAGGUGUCCUAGCGGCGAACGGGUGAGUAACACGUGGGCAACCUGCCCUCAGCUCUGGGAUAACCCCCGGGAAACCGGAGCUAAUACCGGAUACGACCUCGGAAGACAUCUUCCGAGGUGGAAAGAAUUUCGGCUGAGGAUGGGCCCGCGGCCUAUCAGCUUGUUGGUGGGUAACGCCCACAAGGCGACGACGGGU